rnacentral:lncRNA from 1 species
GAUAAAAGAUUUUAUCAGUCUUACUCAGUCUCCUAUGGAUGGUAUGUCAUUUACAGAAAUCUUACACGCCAGGUGAGUCGACAGCCGUAUACAACAGCUGCGCCAUAUUAUGUACUUUGUAUAAGGCCAAAAAAAUAUGUGGGUUUGCUAUUUCUUCUUAUAAAAACUUAGGUAGGGUAGAUCGGUUUUAACUUUUUUUUAAACUUUUUAUUAAAUUUUCCUAACAACCGGACGCCAUUUUGUUUAGUCAGUGCUUCCACAUCCAAAGAUAAAUUUCCCUAAUAUCGGCUCAAAUUUCCAUUUUCAUCAAACGUUUUCCUCUAAGUGGAAACAGUUACAAGCAUGAUCCAAUAAAAAGUUUAGGGUCGGGAUUUCGGCGUCCAAAAGCUAGGUAGGGUCGGGAAACCGGAAUAUGGUACUUUGAAUAAUAAAAUAUGGUACUUUGAAUAGUUUAAUGGAUGAUCAUGAAAAUCUCGCGUGCGAUUUUUUUGAAAAAAUGACUGCUGAAAACAAUUUUUAUAUGAAAACCUGGAUAUUUUUAUACAUGGCCUAAAUCUUUGUAAAACAAACGUCCAUUUUCUAGAGGGAUCAACAUAAGAUAUAUUGGUAAAAUCGCGAUCUGUUUAGCAGGGAAGAAAGAUCUGGAACACGUUUAUGUAAGUGAAUCAUAUGUGCAUGGGUGUACAAAAAAAGUACACAGUUCUAAGGUGUCCAUUAAACUGAAAAUUCCGCAAAAUUUGUGAAAUCUUUGAACCGCACCUAAGAAGCUUAUUAUCUCCUAUUAGUUAAUCAUCAUUAUAGUUUCAUUAUUAAAAGUUUAAAACACAUUUUGAGUUCAUGGGAAAAACUAUGUAUAGGAAAAACUUGGCAUAAUGUUAAUUAACAUCUAAUAUGUGAAAUUAUGUUGUAAUGCAUUUUGUUAAUACUUUAUUUAUUCUUACUGACAGAAAAUAUGUAUUUCUGAGAUGAUUUUGAGAGCGGCGAAGAAACUGUUUAAAGUUCACAUGCGACAAG